GACGUAGGGCGCGAGCGUUGUCCGGAUUUACUGGGCGUAAAGGGCUCGUAGGCGGCCAACUAAGUCAGACGUGAAAUCCCUCGGCUUAACCGGGGAACUGCGUCUGAUACUGGAUGGCUUGAGUUUGGGAGAGGGAUGCGGAAUUCCAGGUGUAGCGGUGAAAUGCGUAGAUAUCUGGAGGAACACCGGUGGCGAAGGCGGCUCCACUGGCCCGGAUACUGACGCUGAGGCACGAAAGCGUGGGGAGCAAACAGG
rnacentral:rRNA from 1 species